rnacentral:rRNA from 1 species
AUGGCGUCUCCAGCAGGAAACCCUAAUCCGAACCCCGGCAACCCCAAUCCCCCCUUCGAGAUGUCCAUGCUCUUCAGGCCGCCUCCCAACCCCGCGCCGACCGCCGCGCCCAUGUUCCCCGGCGCCGCCGGCCCGCCGCCGCACUCCGGCCCCUACUCCUACCCCCCCGCCACCCNNNNNNNNNNNNNNNNNNNNNNNNNNNNNNNNNNNNNNNNNNNNNNNCCCAUGCCCCGACCGGUCAUCCCCUUCCCCAUGCCCAACCCGAACGCGAACCCCAACCCGGGCGCUAACCCCAUGGCCGCCGCGGGCCCCAACCCCGGCGCCCGCCUCAUGCAGCUGCUCGGCAGCUCCGGCUCGGGCCACCUCGAGUCCGCGGUAUCUAUGCCCCCACCGUCGUCGGAGUUCGCCGCCGCGCAGCCGUCGCCGCUCCCGGCGAUGCCAUCCGCGCCGCCGGCGAGGAUGCUCAGCAGCACCAGCAGCAAGGUGCCGAGAGGGCGGCUUCUGGGUGGCGGGGACAAGGCGGUGCACAACGUUGACUCGAGGCUGCCUGGGGAGGCGCAGCCGCCACAGCUGGAGGUAACGCCGAUCACCAAGUACACGUCAGACCCAGGUCUUGUGCUGGGCAGGCAGAUCGCUGUAAACCGGACGUACAUCGUCUAUGGGCUCAAGCUGGGGAACAUCCGUGUGCUAAACAUCAACACCGCGCUUCGGUCACUGCUCCGUGGCCAUACACAGAGGGUCACGGACAUGGCUUUCUUCGCUGAGGACGUCCAUCGUUUAGCAAGCGCAAGUGUGGAUGGACGGAUAUACGUGUGGAGGAUUGAUGAGGGGCCUGAUGCAGAAAAUAAACCACAAAUUACAGGAAAGAUAGAAGUUGCCAUACAAAUUGUAGGUGAUGCCGAAGCUUACCAUCCAAGGAUAUGUUGGCACUCUCAUAAGCAAGAACUUCUGUUUGUUGGAAUCAGAAACUGUGUCUUAAGAAUAGACACAACUAAAGUGGGAAGGGGAAGAGACUUUAAUGCUGAAGAACCUAUCAAAUGUCAUCUUGACGAGCUUAUUGAUGGUGUACGCUUGGUUGGUAGGCAUGAUGGUGAUGUGACAGAUUUGUCCAUAUCUCAGUGGAUGACUACCCGACUCGCUUCAGGAUCAAAUGAUGGCACGGUAAAGAUUUGGGACGAUCGCAAGUUAGCGCCUCUAUCGAUUCUAAAGCCACAUGAUGGUCAAGCUGUUUACUCAGUUGCCUUUCUUACAGCACCUGAGCGCCCGCAUCAUAUAAAUCUCAUCACUGCUGGUCCUCUAAACCGAGAAAUUAAAAUUUGGGCUUCUACUAAUGAAGAAGGUUGGUUGUUGCCAAGCGACUCUGAGACUUGGAAUUGCACCCAGACCCUGGAACUUGUUAGUUCUCUGGAACCUAAAGUCGAGGAGGCAUUUUUCAACCAAGUUGCAGUGCUGCCUCAAGCAAGCAUUAUCUUACUUGCGAAUGCGAAGAAGAAUGCUAUUUACGCUGUGCAUGUUGAGUAUGGCUCAGACCCCGCUUCUACCCGCUUGGAUUAUAUCGCAGAUUUUACAGUCGCGAUGCCUAUUUUAAGUCUUACUGGCACACAUGUAAGCCAACCUGAUGGUGAGCAGGUAGUUCAAGUCUAUUGUGUCCAAACAAUGGCCAUCCAGCAGUAUGGGCUGGAGUUAUCACUUUGUUCACCUCCUACUUCUGAUACUACCUCAUUUGGAAGAGACCCUGUUGUUUCACGUGUUUAUGAUACACCUCUGGAAGUGGUAGGAGCAGAGUCAUCCACGGGAACUAGCUUUACAGAUUCUUAUACCGUCGGUACUUCGAGUAAACAAUCAACUUUUGAUCAGACUGCAGAGUUUGAUCUUAAGCCAUCAGCUCCGCCACUUACAUACACAGAAGGUGAUGGUUCUGCGCAUCUUCAGUCUGCCCCUCUUGCAUCAAACACUGAUCUUACUGGAUCAGGACCAUCAGUAGGCAACCGUGACAAAGACCAAUCAGCUUUUGAUUAUUCGACAAGCCGAAUCACUGAGCCAGUUGCCUUGACUAGGCAAGAUACACCCAUGCCAAAACCAGUUGCCCUCGCUAGGCAAGAUACACCCAUGCCAAAACCAGUUGCCCUUGCUAGGCAAGAUACACCCAUGCCAAAGGACAAUUUUGGAAAGGAUGAAUUAAGAGACAGCCACAGUGAUGUUCAGAUGCUCCCAAAUCCUCGCAUGAUGUUUAAGGUAGGAGGAAAUGCCACUCAUCUCAUAACUCCAUCUGAAAUUAUAUCAGGUGCUCUGUCUGCUGAAAGCAAUCAGGUCUCUAAAUCUGAUGGCGCAAAAAUCCAGGAUGACUCUAUUAGUAGCCCUCGGAUUGCAGAAGUGGAAGCAAAACAUGUCGAUGAGAGUAAAUCUAAUCAUGCUUUGGAACUUGAAGCUGUCAAGGAAGCUCAAGUUGUCCGUGAGAACUCAGAGAAAGAUCAAAAUUCGUUGGAGCAAACUGUUGAAAUGAUCAGUGAGCGUUCAGUAACAACUGAUAAGUAUAGCGUGGAAGAAUCACGGUCACCAUCUGAUAGACUGGUCCCUGACCAUACUGGUGCUGCUGGAGAAAAUGUUUCAAACAAAACCGUAGAAAAACCUGGCAUAAGUGACUCCUCUGUCUCUAGGGAGCAAUCAUCUUCAUAUACAAAGGACAAGGUUUUUCAUCCUCAAGCAUCUGGUCAGUCAUCACCUUCUACAAGCGCAUUCAACUCAACUGAGUCUUCACAUGAACCUGUCAGCAGUGCAUACCCUCCUAUUGAAUCCUCUUCAGAAGUUGCCGAUAUGCUGCAACAGCUAAUAGCCAUGCAGAAGGAUAUGCAGAAGCAGCUAGGUACUAUCGUUAUUGCUCCCAUUGCGAAGGAAGGCAAAAGAAUUGAAACAUCACUAGGCCGUACAAUGGAGAAAUCUAUCAAGGCUAGCAUUGAUGCCUUGUGGGCCCGUUUCCUGGAGGAGAACACAAAACGUGAGAAGGCUGAAAGGGAACGAAUGCAGCAAAUGACCACUCUCAUCACAAGCUCAAUAAACAAGGACCUUCCUGCUAUGUUGGAUAAGUUAGUAAAGAAAGAAGUUUCUUCACUUGGACCUGUUGUUGCACGGGCAAUGACACCUAUUAUUGAGAAGUUCUUAACCUCUAUAGUUGCUGAUGCAGUUCAGAAAGCGGUGGGUGACAAGGUGGUGAAUCAGCUGGACAAAUCUGUUACUGCAAAACUUGAAGCUACACUUGCUAGGCAAAUCCAAAUGCAAUUUCAUACAUCUGUAAAACAGACUCUUCAGGAUGUUUUACGCACUAGCUUUGAAUCAUUGCUUGUUCCAGCAUUUGAACAAUCAUGUAAGACAAUGUUUGAGCAAGUAGACAGUGCAUUCCAGAAAGGAAUGUCUGAGCAUGCUGUUGCUAUUCAGCAGCAGGUUGAGGCAGCACAUACUCCAUUGGCGCUUACUUUAAAGGAAACUAUCACUUCUGCGUCCUCAAUCACCCAGAAUCUCACAUCAGAGUUACUUGAUGGGCAUCGCAAACUUUUGGCGCUGGUUACAUCUGGCAACGCCAAUGCGCAAAAUACAAAUGUUCUGCAGCCCAACAAUGGUCCUAUCACUGGCCCACCAGAGGUCGAGGCACCAUUAGACCCGAUGAAGGAGCUGGGAAGACUGCUAGCUGAACACAAAUUUGACGAGGCUUUUACAGUAGCACUUCAAAGAAGUGACGUGUCAAUUGUGUCUUGGUUAUGCUCUCAGGUUGAUUUGCGUGGAUUAUGUACAAUGGCCCCAGUCCCUCUGAACCAGGGAGUCCUCCUAGCCCUACUCCAGCAGCUAGCAGUUGAUAUUGGCACCGAGACAUCCCGGAAAAUUCAGUGGAUGACAGAUGUUGCCAUGGCGAUCAAUCCGACAGACCAAGUCAUCGCCAUACAUGUGAGGCCCAUCUUCGAGCAAGUCUACGCCAAAUUGGCUCACCACCGGUCGCUCCCCACCACCAGUCCAUUGGAUAACAGCAAUCUCCGCUUGCUCAUGCAUGUCAUCAACUCAGUUCUGCUUAGCUACAAGUGA